GCUUCAUUAGCUCCCCGGCUGCUAAAGAUAAGAACUCUUGAGCAAGGUGAUAUUUUUGGACUGGCCAAUUUAAUGGACAAGUCAUGUCUUCUUCAACUCAGUUUGAUCAGUGAAGGUGCAGAGUGCAUAUUUAUUCCCAAGCGACUAUUUCUGGAAGAAGCAACUGCUAAAUCCAGGCAGAUGGCAUUACAGAUGUUCAGCAGUUACCCCACAGAGAGUAUGAUCCAGCAGAGUUACAAUACACAGCAAACAUGGAGCAGAUACAAGAGCAAACUUAUUAAACAGCACCUUAAAUGGCAUGCUGAGCGAGCAGGCAUCAAAAGUAGUAAUGGCUGGUAAAUAUAUUUUAUAUGCAUUGCAAGCCAAGCUUUUGUCCUGAUAAGAAAAUACUUAUUUGUGAAAAUAUAUAACUAUUAAAAAAAAAACAUUUCGGCUUCUUUUCUAUAUUGUAAAAUGGAUUUAUAUUCACUGGUGCUUUUAUAUCCAUUUCUGAGACGUUGGUAAAAAAUAUCUUAAAAGAACAUCAACACACAAAUACCUAAGAGAUGCACAUUGGCAUAAGAUGUACAAUUACCGUACUAAUUUAUUUUAGAAACAAGAGGUAGAAAUAUGUUGUGUGUGUGUUUGUGUGAAUGAUAUAUAAAGAGAAAUCUCCUGGAGUCCAUUGGGAUUACAGCAAAGCAUUGUAAAACAAACAUCAUACAUAC